UCCAGACUCCUACGGGAGGCAGCAGUGGGGAAUAUUGGGCAAUGGGCGCAAGCCUGACCCAGCAACGCCGCGUGAAGGAAGAAGGCUUUCGGGUUGUAAACUUCUUUUAAGAGGGAAGAGAAGAAGACGGUACCUCUUGAAUAAGCCGCGGCUAACUACGUGCCAGCAGCCGCGGUAAUACGUAGGGGGCAAGCGUUAUCCGGAUUCACUGGGUGUAAAGGGAGCGUAGACGGCGACGCAAGUCUGGAGUGAAAGCCCGGGGCCCAACCCCGGGACUGCUCUGGAAACUGCGUCGCUGGAGUACGGGAGGGGCAGGCGGAAUUCCUGGUGUAGCGGUGAAAUGCGUAGAUAUCAGGAGGAACACCGGCGGCGAAGGCGGCCUGCUGGACCGUGACUGACGUUGAGGCUCGAGAGCGUGGGGAGCAAACAGGAUUAGAUACCCUAGUAU
rnacentral:rRNA from 1 species